UGAUAUGUCUGGUAUUCUUGGGUUC
rnacentral:miRNA from 1 species